rnacentral:misc_RNA from 1 species
UCCGGUUUGUCACCGGCAGUCUCAUUAGAGUGCCCAACUGAAUGUAGCAACUAAUGACAAGGGUUGCGCUCGUUGCGGGACUUAACCCAACAUCUCACGACACGAGCUGACGACAGCCAUGCAGCACCUGUGUUCCGAUUCCCUUUCGGGCACACCCAUAUCUCUACGGGCUCUCGGACAUGUCAAGGGUAGGUAAGGUUUUUCGCGUUGCAUCGAAUUAAUCCACAUAAUCCACCGCUUGUGCGGGUCCCCGUCAAUUCCUUUGAGUUUUAACCUUGCGGCCGUACUCCCCAGGCGGUCGACUUCACGCGUUAGCUUCGUUACUGAGAGUGUCAAACCCCCAACAACCAGUCGACAUCGUUUAGGGCGUGGACUAC